CCCCACGCGAAUGGAUGCACCAACACAACCAAAGAGAAUGUGUAUGAGAACCGUAAUGAAUUUACAUGCAAUUUCCUCGGCAAAUUCAAUAUGUCACAUGUGGGAAAAACGACCGUGGAAAACAAACAAUUUAUCGGGUGGUGAAUUUGCUUACAUUUGGAGAAGGUUGGCACAACAAUCACCAUGCUUUUGAGUAUUCAGCUAGGAUGGGCAUUGAAUGGUGGCAAUUUGACAUGUUAUUGUGUUUCUUGAAGCCAUUGGAGUGGCUACUCAUGUCAAAUUGCCAUCUCAAACCCUUAUGCAAAAAUUGGCCAAAGAUUAACUAAAAGAACCCUAUAUUUUGACUGAUGCUUUGUAUGGAAAUAAUUAUGCUUCUAAAAAUAAUGUGGAAUAAUGUGGAUUAUAAGAAAAUGCCCAUAUAAAUUAGUCUCGAUUAUUAUAAUAUAAUUGUAGGCAUAAAUUUACAUUAUGAUACACUAUACUAUGCUAUGCCUUGUUAUGCUA